rnacentral:snRNA from 1 species
CCCCUUACCUGGCAGGGGAGAUACCAUAAUCAUGAAGGUGAUUUUUUUCCAGGGUACGACUCAUCCAUCGCACUGCAGGUGUGCUGUUCCCUGCGAUUUUCCCAUAUGUGGGAAACUUGACUGCAUAAUUUGUGGCCAC